AGUUAAAAAGCUCGUAGUUGGAUUUCUGGCAGGAGCGACGGGCCGCGCACUCUGUGCGUGAACUUGGUUGUCUCUGGCCAUCCUUGGGGAGAUCCUGUUUGGCAUUAAGUUGUCGGGCAGGGGAUACCCAUCGUUUACUGUGAAAAAAUUAGAGUGUUUAAAGCAGGCUUAUGCCGUUGAAUAUAUUAGCAUGGAAUAAUAAGAUAGGACUUUGGAACUAUUUUGUUGGUUUGCGUUACAAAGUAAUGAUUAAUAGGGACAGUUGGGGGUAUUCGUAUUUCGUUGUCAGAGGUGAAAUUCUUGGAUUUCCGAAAGACGAACUACUGCGAAAGCAUUUACC
rnacentral:rRNA from 2 species